UCUUCAGAUGAUGAUUUAUUGUUUCCCUGUGGUCAAAUGUUGCUGGACAACAAAUACUAUCCCAAAACUUGAACUGAUGCAUG
rnacentral:sRNA from 1 species